GGCUCGGUAGCUCAGUUGGUAGAGCAGGGGAUUGAAAAUCCCCGUGUCGGCGGUUCGAUUCCGUCCCGAGCCA
rfam:Luteibacter yeojuensis strain ST11 contig_10, whole genome shotgun sequence.